rnacentral:lncRNA from 1 species
ACCGUAGCAGGUCUCGAGCCAAUGCAGAAACUUAGUGGGUCUGCCUUAAAAUGGACUCUACAAGAUGACUGCUACAAAAUAUCUUUUACUCUCUUCACUAUUAUGAAGGGAGUGGUAUUAUAUUAGGACCCUCUUGUUUGUGGGCAUCAAUUACAACUUUCUAUUUAGAUACUUCUCUUUCCUCUGCUUAUGUUGGAGUCUUUUACUCUGUGAUUACUAACUGUAUUGCAUUAUCUUCAUUCUCUCAAUAGCAACAGUACAAGUUUUAGAUUAUCUGUCCCCUGCAUUGCUGAAGAUUUACUGUGUAGCUCCUGGAUGUCCACAUAUAUGUGUGCAGACACUAACAAAUUGUACACAGAACUCUGGGGGUAUGGAGAAGGGAAUGAUUAAUUUUGCCUGUGAAAAAAGGAUUAGCAAGGGGCAUCGAAGGCUUCAUGCGGGAGAUGACAUUUGAACUAAGUUUGCAGAAUAAAUAGAAUUUCAGCAUGUGGGUACGAUGCCUCUACUGGGGGUGGCAGAUUAAGAAAGCACAAAGAAAGGAGUGUGACAGAUAGAAAAUAGUAUGAGAAAGGGCACCGGAGAAUUAAAGCUCAUGGUAUGAAAAGGACAGAGGUAGCAUCUGGAAGUUAAAGCACAUGGUACUUGUAUCAGAAGACUCCUGUCUAUGGCUAAUGCUCAGCCUGGUUGACUGAGUGUAAAAAAUAGAUUUAAAAUAUUCAAAAAUACCAACAAAAUGUAAAACAGAAUACCAAAUUCAGAAAGUGGGAAAGCACCCCUUCCCCUUCAGUUUCAAAAAAUACACUUUGUGUAUCUGAGCUUUGAACAGGAACCACACCCUGAGGAAUGAAGAGGCCUCCUCAUUAAGGAUAAUUUUAAGUUACUAAUUGCUACCUACACCCCCUGGCAUUAAACAAACAGAGCUGCCUUCACUCCUCCUAGGCUGCCCUUUGAGGAAGAACAUAAGCAUCUAAAAAUAGAACUGCAGGGGCUUUCCCACACAUUAAAACUUCUGCCCAUCCUCCCCUCCAGCCAAAUCACGUUAAUCAUGAUGAAGACCAAAAUAAUAGUGCUGAAUGAAUGUCCAGGAGCUUAAGUAUUUGAUUUGGACAAAUACUCUGCUUAGUGCUUUAUACCCUAAAUCCUCAAAUUGUGGAGAGGAAGCUUGUGGCCCUUAAGGAGAAGAGAGAGGCAAGCUGGAGAAAGUGCAGAGAUUUCAACGGCCUCUUGGACUUUUCUGUCUCCUUAUGUUUUCCUGGUGUUCUAGUGGUUAGUUUUGCAGCAUACAGUGCUAGUCUCUGCCCUCACACUUUCUGUUUCCCCAUGUGUGUUAAUCUAGAGAUUAAUAAGAAAUGCCCACUCUGAGAGUGACCACUAGCAAGCCAGCAAUGGGGUAGACUCUCAAUUUGGAAUGAAUGUUUGAAGAGCCUUUUCAAAUUUCAUAGAAAUGAGGAUUGUGACCGUACAAAAAAAGAUGGUGUCUACAAGAAGAUCCCUUUACUCUUGGGAAGCAAAUUUAGCUGUCCACUUCUUGCUUUUAAUAACUCGCAUAGCUAAUAAAGAGACCAACAUGCUCAUCUUGGAUCCCAGUGCCUCUCGGCGGAGAGGAAUUGGGGAAGGGAGUUGGUUUGAAAGGCAAAGUGAGCUCUUAGUAGCCGAAGCUGCAUAACUACACUGUUACCCCUCCAUCUACCUGCUCCCAGUGCAGCAACCCUUCCUGAGGUCUCUUCAGAUGUUUUCAGCUACUUCAGGUGACCAUUCUUUAGCAGCACGGAGCUGCUGCUCAUACUUGGAAGUGCCAUCAGCCCCACAUUUUCAUUUUUGAGUAUCCCUUUUCUGAGCAGAGACCGGUCUACUGUGGCAACAGAAUGCAUCCAGUUAAGGCAAGAGAUUGACGACUCAACACUGACCUCCACUGGUUGGCAUGGAAAUACCUAAUCCCUUUCCUUCAAUGCCUUGGCCAUUUUCACGGCGUGCACAGGGAGCCCUCAGCACCUUGCACUGCAGUGUUGGUUGAGAUUUUACAUGAGUUUAAAUUACCUUCCUAGGAGCAUAUAUAUAGAUUCUGGAAAACUCUGAUCCAACAUUGAGACCUCAGCGCGCCCUUGUACCACCACAAACCACAACAUCAUUUUGUUUACACCAAAUUAUGGAGUUCAAAAUUGAAUUCAUGAGAAUCCGAGAAAUCUAUGUCAAUCUUUUUCCAUGGUGGUGUUAUUAAUGACUAUUCAAUUGCCAAUAGAUUUAUGAUUACCUUUUAAAUGUCUCAAACUCCAAUUGGCCAUUGUAACCCCAUUUUCAAUUGGUAUAAUAAUCUUGCCUGCCGAGAAUCUGUGCCAGAUGCUGUGUUGCCAAUGCCUUAGUUGUCUGGAGGUGGGUAAGGAAGGCCCGCUUGGAUCAGUGCCACUAAAGGUGGGCUGUGAUUCUCCUCAUGGGGUAGUCAGGACUUGGAACCAGCCAGGAUUUCAGGAGAGAUACAAGGCAAAAUGAACAAGGGAGCCUCUAUACGCUAAAAAAAA